UACGCAGGGUGCAAGCGUUACUCGGAAUUACUGGGCGUAAAGCGUGCGCAGGCGGUUUUGUAAGACUGUCGUGAAAUCCCCGGGCUCAACCUGGGAAUGGCGAUGGUGACUGCAAGGCUAGAGUUUGGCAGAGGGGGGUAGAAUUCCACGUGUAGCAGUGAAAUGCGUAGAUAUGUGGAGGAACACCGAUGGCGAAGGCAGCCCCCUGGGUCAAAACUGACGCUCAUGCACGAAAGCGUGGGGAGCAAACAGG
rnacentral:rRNA from 1 species